rnacentral:rRNA from 1 species
UAACGGUUGCAUUUUUGUACUAAGGUAGCAUAGUAAUUUGCCCUUUAAUUGGGGGAAUGAAUGAAUGGUUUGAUGGUGGGAAUUCUGUUUCACAAGUAUGAAAAGAAGUUAAUUUUUAAGUGAAAAAGCUUAAGUAUUUUUAAAAGACGAGAAGACCCUGUCGAGCUUGAUUAAUUUUUUGUUUUUUAAAUGAAAAAAGAAGUUUUGUUGGGGCAACAUUUAAUUUAAACAUUUUAGUUUAAUUGGGAUCCAUUAAGAUUGAAUUUAGCACAAGCUACCGUAGGGAUAACAGGGUAAUUUUUUCUGAAAGUUCGAAUUAAAGAAAAAGUUUGCUACCUCGAUGUUGGAUUAGAAUAUCUUUUUGCUGUAGUAGGUAAAAUAGUGGGACUGUUCGUCCUUUAAAAAUUUACA